UUGUAAACCACUCCUAAAUCUAUAAAGGAAUUGGUGUGUUGUGUUAGAAGUCUAAGUUGUCCAGGUGGGAUAGCUUAGUGGGUAGAUUGUUUUUCUACUUAGGCUUGUUGAGCAAUAGAGGACUAUUGCUUAACGGUAAGAUUGAUAACUCUUUCUUACGUUUGGUGUAA